rnacentral:piRNA from 1 species
CAAGAAUUAUACAAAGAGCAUUCCAGAAUC